ACGUCAGAAUAGAUACUUUGGAGAACAGAUUAUAAAUUUAGUGCAUAUUUCUUACGAGUUUAAUUUAUGGGUCACCUGUUUAAGAAUUUCGUUUAUCAAAAUUCUGUGGAUUGAAUAACCCUUAACUCACAACCCUUGUUCUGCAAACUUACUUCCACACAGACUACUUGACGUAUUUGUGUGAGGCACGGAUUCCCACUGUUUUGUGUCCACGUAUGAUAGUCGGAGCUCUUGGACUUAUGAGUGGAUUCUCAUGAGCAUAUCUCGGAAGCUUUACUUGAAACCGGUGUCCUUGUUGCAAGCAGCGAAUUCAGGAGUUGGGUGCAGCAAAGUUUUGAUGAGAUGAUGCUAUAUUGUGAUUCUCUCCACAGGCUGGAGUGCGCGUGUAUUUCUGAGCAGAGUUUUGAAGGUUUACAGAGUUUGAUUUUGGUCGUUGUUGCGAAUUUGAAGAUGUAGGGUUUUAGAGCGGAGUAUGAUCAAAGAGCAGCAGAAAUCGACAGAAUAUGGCGCAGGCAGGAUUGACAGCGCUGGAUACAUGGAUGUCGCGCAAGUGGAGGGAGCGCGAGCGUAUGUGGCGAAAAGAUGUGAGGCAAUGGCGAUCCGAGGAAUUGAUCUUCCGCGCAGAUGCUCGGAGAUACGAGCGUGCAGAAGCUCUGUUUCGGAUGCAAAAACGCAGAUGGCGCGAAGAAGAUAUGAAGCAGAGGCGAGUGGAUAAUUCGCAUUACCUUUGGUCCAGAUGUGCAGAAUUGAAUAGACGUGAAGUAGAUGAGAAGGCGGAGCACCUUCGUUUACUCAGUUGGCUUACAGGACUGAUUACCAGUUUCACAAUGACAACGCUUGUAGAGUUUCAAUUCGAUGCCACCGUUUCUACAGCUCGAUUAACAGCCUAUGCUAUCUUCACCGCUCUUGUGCCAACUCUCAUGACAACAGCAACGAUGAUCAGUGUGUUUCUUCUUGGAUCUAUUUUGAAGAUGGGGAAGUGGUUUGUUUCCGAGGAAGCUGAAGAGGAAUUCAUGGCACAGUGUCGUAUUUAUGCCGAAUCUGCCCACCCUUCGCAACUUGCCCCUCCAGCUCCUCGCCGUACGUUCGAUCGAUUUUGGGAAUUCAGGUGUGAAGGCGAUUGGAAGAGAGCUUUUCGUAUGUUUUCAUGGGGCAUUACAUUUUUUCUGGCGCUCCUCUGUUCUUUAGGCUUUGUGAAGUUUUGGUUUAGUGACUUCAUUGCCAUCUUUUUCGCUGUCAUUAUCGGCAUCUUCUUCAUCAUCUGGCUGGGAAUUAAAUUCACUUACGGCUUAUACCUUAGAGACGACUCUGCAAACGACGAGCCAGCGGUGACAGUUUCUCGCCGACGACCAGAAUUGUCCUGGCCAGAAGAUCCUUUCAAAUGGCAUAUCCAACCACAGAAGAGCAAAUCAAUAUCCAGUUCGACAAGCCUCCUCAACAGGGAAGUGAACGCCACGCCUAUACCCUCAUCAUCGUGGCCGCUCUCACUUGAUCGGAGUUGUCCUAGCAAUUCUUCAGCAAAUGUACCCGCUGUAAAUACUGUGACAGCAGUAGAUACUGCAACAUGAUAAGGCUGCAAUAUGAGUCACAAUAGACUCACGCAGCCAUCCCUUGUGAAUUACACUAAGAGGGUGGCUAUCACAGCGCAUCCUAGCUACUCGGCCAUGGAGUGUCAACUGAAGAUGGUCUGUCCUAGACCCGAUGUGCUGGAUUUGAACAACAGCAAACAUGAUGCAGGCGGUGGUGUGGGCGACACAUAUUGUGAAGAUUCUGCCACUGAG